AUACGUAGGUGACAAGCGUUAUCCGGAUUUACUGGGCGUAAAGGGCGUGUAGGCGGUCUUGCAAGUCAGAAGUGAAAUUCCUGAGCUCAACUCGGGCGCUGCUUCUGAAACUGCAGGACUUGAGUGCUGGAGGGGAUAGCGGAAUUCCUAGUGGAGCGGUAAAAUGCGCAGAUAUUAGGAAGAACACCGGUGGCGAAGGCGGCUAUCUGGACAGUACCUGACGCUGAGGCGCGAAAGCGUGGGGAGCAAACAGGAUUAGAUACCCUGGUAUUCCACGCCGUAAACGAUGAAUACUAGGUGUAGGGGGUAUCGACUCCCUCUGUGCCGCAGUUAACACAAUAAGUAUUCCGCCUGGGGAGUCCGGCCGCAAGGUUGAAACUCAAAUGAAUUGACGGGG
rnacentral:rRNA from 1 species